CAAAACCUCUAAUAUUGUCUACAAAGGCAAGCUAUCGCUUUCAUUUCUUUGAAUUUAAAUCACAGACCUAAGUCAGUUACUCAAUUACCCACGAUUAAUCUCCAGGGCACAACCACACCCACAUAAGCACCUGGCUGUUCUGUCACCUCUCAGUGAAACCCUGCUCCUUUGACCCUCUUAGCCCUAGUAGUUGGACACUGAGAUCCCGGCUUUACAGAGGACACUAGGACCCAGGGGAGGGAUGGUCCCUUCUUGGUCUGGCCCUGUGUGCUGUACCUACUUUCCUGAGUGAUGCUGAGCCAGCUCUGGACAUUCCCCCACAUCUAAACAAAGUCCAGCGAGUCACACAUAACCCCAGGGUUUUCUGACUUCCUCUUAACAUUCAACCCUAGGAUGGCCUGGGGGGAAAAACAAGGGUGCUAUUGCAUGGCCUUUAAUACCCCUGUGCUGUCCAGGAGCCUCUCUGGUUCCCCUGGGGCUUGGUCUGGUUGCACAAUACACAGCCUGAAUUAAGUGAGUUAAGAACAUCUUAUUCUUACAUAACAUCUGCCUUCCAGUCUUAUUGCUAGACAGGAAGCAAUGACUGACCCCCAUACAACUUGCUUCCCAGUUUGAUGGGACCCACUGCCUUGAUCAUGGUGAAUGCUGGUCUGGAUCUUUCCUUACCUGUCUGGCAGGCACCUCCAGGCCCUGCCCCAGGUCUCCGUACCCUGCACCCACCUGCUCAUCCCCAGGAUUCUGUCUUAGACGAAAGUUUUCUUGAGAAGCGUGAUUGGGCUUUGCCACUGGAGAAGAGGUGCUAGGAGACAUAAAAACUCGACCAGAGAUCCUCCUUAUCUAGGACACGGGAAAGCUGGACUUGAGGACUGGUUUCUAGGCCGUUUUAACGACCUGCUCUGUAAUGUUUCUGGGAAGGACAGGGUUUUGUUUUGUUUUUUUUUUCAGGUGGACUGCUCAAUUAUAUCAGGUUUCCUGUGUGUCAGUCAGUAAAUGCAGAAGAUCAGAAUUAAAGCAAGGGGCCUUUCCCUUC